UCGGUACGGCCACUGGCACAAGAAUAAGACACCUGGAGAAUACCGCACCGGUCCACGUGUCAUGGUCUUUGUCAUCGGUGGCGUGUCCUUCAGUGAGAUGCGCUGCGCCUAUGAGGUCACACAGGCCAAUGGGAAAUGGGAAGCCGUCAUUGGAUCGACCCACAUCUUCACCCCCACCAGCCUGCUGGAGCAGCUCAAGGCCAUGAACAAACCAGACGAGGAAGUGACAAGCUAAAAUCUUCCAAUCACAUCUCUCUCCUCCUUAACCUUAACCCACACCCCUCCUCUACCCAUGUUACCUCCAUAACCCCCUCCGCCCACCCCACCCUAUCCAUUAAUUGUGUAUGCAUCUUGCUUGAAAAGAAAAAAAGACAGAUGAUUAAAAAAAAAUAUAUGUUGUAUCAAAGAAUAAAAUUGUUGCAAGUAUUCUCAUGUUUUACAAUGGAUGCAACUAAAUGAACUUAUUUAAAAAGGUUUAAAUAUCAGAACAGAAGGCCAUUUAGAACUGAAAGUACCAAAAUGUAAUAUUGUAUGCUAUGAAACCUGCUAGAAUGUGUAAGAGGUAGACAUUUUCUCUUGUUUUCCUUUGGAUUACCUCCUUGGUGUGAGUUUUAUUGGAAGCAGGUGGAGGAGGGAUGUGCAGUUUGAGAGGUUGAUGUUGUAAAAUAUAUCAUAUCAGUCAACAUGCAAUAUACAUAUAUAUAUAAAUAUAUUUCAUCAGAGAAGAGUCGCCCCCUGCCCAUUUGAGAUGUGCAUAUUCAGUAGCAUGCUUGGACUUGUGUGGACUGUUAAUGUGUUUGUAUCCAGUGUGGAUGUUCUGGGAGCUGCAGAGUUGGCGUUUAACCUUUUCCAAAGAUGCUGAGAUUGAAUGCUCCACCGGAAACCUGUUUUCUAAGUAUCAAGAAGUAGAAAAAACGUUCACUGAAACCUGUCUAAUCACUCCUGAAGCAUUAUCCACGACUCAUUCAGCAGCUGAAACUUGUUAACGGCGUGGGCGGUAACCAUUGCUGUGUUGCACACAGACAAUGGCAUAACAGGCUACUGCUGUAGCAACAAACAGAAUGUGUCUUUUUUCAGGCAUAUUUUGACGGAAAUACAACUUUGUAAAAUACUUAGCACAUGUUUUGACAGAUGGAGAUGUGGACUAUGCUAUGGGAAUGGUUUUAUAAGUUCCUGUGGAUGUUUUGAUAGUUUUUUUUGCGGCGAAACCAUCGUGUAUUUAAGCUAUCCUCAGCUGCCAUGCUCAAGCUUUCCAUCUUCUUCUACGGCUGGUGAGUGCUUGAUACUCAAAACAUAGUCAAAAUAGUUGAAUUUUCGGUGAAGUAUUCAUUUAAAAUCACUUGGCAGAGCGGAAGACGAAAAGAGAAAGCUCUGUAAAAAAAAAAAAAUAGCCCGAAUCAUCCCUCCUCCGGCUGCCGAGACUGUGAAGUAUUUACCUGCCACAAAUUUUUCCUUUCUCCGGAGAAACUUCACGUUUUAAUGUCAAAGAGGCCGUUGCUUGCUGAUAUUUAAAGAAUAAUCUUAAAAAGGGCCAGUUGUAUUUCAGUAUUGUAUCUGUCAGAUUAAGUCUUAUCUCAUUGGUUAGUAAUGAUGUUUAAUUGGGCCAUGCACUGAGUAGUGUUGUGUAUCUGCCAUAUGUUGCUGUUUUAGCGUCUCACUGUUGACUGGUGAUAUUUCUGACUGUGAAGUAGUGAUACUUUUCCUUUUAAAAUGCCAAUGUGAAGCCGCCGUGUUUGUGAUGUUUUAGCUGUAGCUGUUAGUGGUCAGCUGGGAAAAAGAACUAUUAUCUAUAUUUUCUUUGUCUGUUUCCUCCUCUGGUGCAAUGUAAAACCCUCCAAUGGUGAAUGGCUUUGCAAAAAAAGAAAAAACAACAAAACUUUAACCCCCCCUUUUCACUUUUAUUUCCUCCCUUCCCUCCCUCUUUCCUGGCCAAACAAGUUGUAUAUUGCACUAUAAUGCGUUUUCUGUGAUGCAAACGCUUGACUUUGUGUUUAUUUUUUUCUAUUAUAAUUUGCUGUUGUAUAGGGUUUACUCUGUUAAAUCCAUUGAUUUAUAUCAAAAUUAUUUACCAGAGAAAAAAUAAUGAUGAUACAUUAGUCUGUCCUGAAACUGUUUAACUUAUUGGGAUUGUUUGUUUGCCAGUGUUGAAGCACAAACAAUACUUCCAUGUGUACCUAAUAUGUACUAAGGCUGUCUAAUAAAUUGGCUUCCAUUACA